AAAUAUGGUGGCGCCCUAAAGGCCACAGAGGAAAGAAUUGAGGAGCUCAAAUCAGCCAAGAAGUGAACAAUUCCAAUUUGUUGAAAGCCUCUAGCAAUGAUUGGUGAUGAUGGUGACGACAAUGUACAGUUACUUGAACAAUUAGGUGCCAAUAAUAGCACAUUGAAAGCCUGAAAGUUGAUCUUGAUGUGGAAAUGUCAGUUCUUAUUGGACGCGGAGGAAUUGAUCCCGAGCUCAUAUGCUCCCGCAUGAACAGUAAAAUCGAAAAAAAUUCAAAAAAUUCCAAUUUUUUUUUGUGAGAAACAUUGACAAAAGUUCUAAGUGCCUGCAAAAAUUCGUCGUGAAAUCACAUUCCUAGAAGGCAUGGCAGAAAAAACAAAAACAGUACUCUGAAAAACCUGCUUUCAAAAGCAUUUUGAAGCACUGAAUUUGUUUUUUUUGCCACGCCUUACAUGAAUGUGAUUUCAUGAUGAAUUUUUGCAGGCACUUAGAACUUUUGUCAAUGUUUCUCUCAAAAAAAAAUUGGAACUUUUUUGAAAUUUUUUUGAUAUUUUUUCGAUUUUACUGUUCAUGCGGGAGCAUAUGAGCUCGGGAUCAAAAGAUGACUUUCGGUUCUUAUUUACCAUCUCCAGUCACAGAAUAGGCACGUUUGUGACCGGAGGGAAGGGCUGCAGUGUUUUUCCAACUAUUAUGGCAACUCUUUGGUGUCUUUCUUCAGCGUCUUGAUUAAAGUCGCUAAUUUGAUGGUAAGUGAUUUGAUAAAAAAACUUGCUAGUGUUGCACUGCCUGAAUUAAAUUAGUCUGCUAAGCUAAAUAUAGUCAAGUCCUACAAAAGUCCAAUGUACGCUUGUGCCACAUGUUGACAGUCGGAAGUUCCAUGUGUGAAUUCAAUACAUCAUAUUACAAUAUUCUAUGUUUAAACCUAAUGGUUAGGUAGGUCAUAUCGUCUGUUUAAAAACAAUACUAUUUUCUUAGGGCUUUCCGAAAUGAAAUACUGAAAAACAUGGGAAUAAAAACACACGGGAACUACUCAAUA
rnacentral:lncRNA from 1 species